CCUACGGGGUGCUGCAGUGGGGAAUAUUGGACAAUGGGGGGAACCCUGAUCCAGCCAUGCCGCGUGUGUGAAGAAGGCCCUCGGGUUGUAAAGCACUUUCAGUGAGGAAGAACGCCUGGUGGUUAAUACCCAUCAGGAAAGACAUCACUCACAGAAGAAGCACCGGCUAACUCCGUGCCAGCAGCCGCGGUAAUACGGAGGGUGCGAGCGUUAAUCGGAAUUACUGGGCGUAAAGCGCGCGUAGGUGGCUUGAUAAGCCGGUUGUGAAAGCCCCGGGCUCAACCUGGGAACGGCAUCCGGAACUGUCAAGCUAGAGUGCAGGAGAGGAAGGUAGAAUUCCCGGUGUAGCGGUGAAAUGCGUAGAGAUCGGGAGGAAUACCAGUGGCGAAGGCGGCCUUCUGGACUGACACUGACACUGAGGUGCGAAAGCGUGGGUAGCAAACAGGAUUAGAUACCCCAGUAGUA
rnacentral:rRNA from 1 species